rnacentral:rRNA from 1 species
AACGAACGCUGGCGGCAUGCCUAACACAUGCAAGUCGAACGAGACCUUCGGGUCUAGUGGCGCACGGGUGCGUAACGCGUGGGAACCUGCCCUUAGGUUCGGAAUAACUCCCCGAAAGGGGUGCUAAUACCGGAUAAUGUCUUCGGACCAAAGAUUUAUCGCCUUUGGAUGGGCCCGCGUUGGAUUAGCUAGUUGGUAGGGUAAAAGCCUACCAAGGCGACGAUCCAUAGCUGGUCUGAGAGGAUGAUCAGCCACACUGGGACUGAGACACGGCCCAGACUCCUACGGGAGGCGGCAGUGGUGAAUAUUGGACAAUGGGCGAAAGCCUGAUCCAGCAAUGCCGCGUGAGUGAUGAAGGCCUUAGGGUUGUAAAGCUCUUUUACCCGGGAUGAUAAUGACAGUACCGGGAGAAUAAGCUCCGGCUAACUCCGUG